UUCUGAAAUUAGAAAGCAAAAUUACAUAUCUAGUUUUAAUUACUACAUGUACAUGUUUAUAGAUAUCGACAGCCAUAAAAUCACAUCUUCUAUAGAUACGAUAUAUCUUUUGAAACAUGCUAAUAUUUUAAAAUUAAAUACGCGCACUUGUAUAAAGUACAGAUUAAAGAUCAAGGUAUUUAUAUGCCUCGAACAUGUAUUUUUUUUAAUUUCGCUCAUGCUACAAGUGUAUACGCCAAAAGUCUGAUAUCUAAAGCACAUAUUUAAACAAAUACUGAAUAUUCUUUCAAAAGUAUAAAUUCCUAAAGACUUGAAUCUAGAGUAUACAUUUUAUAAAUACAGUAAUUUUGUAUGCACCGAAAACAUUUUUUUUUAUAAAUUUCCUUUCUUUCUUUUAAAUAUUCAAAUGAAAUAAACAAUAAAUGAUACAAGUUUUAAACAAAUCUGCCUCCAACAUCAGCCAAUUCUCUGCAGUGUACAAACAUCAAUUGUCCGCAAGUGGUACCAAGUCUGCUGUUUCGCGUUGUUCACAUCGGCGUCCCAUAGUUUCGUAAUAAUUCUCUGUUGUUGCUGAAUUUUAUAUGCACACAUCUCGUUGCGGAGUAGUAGAUGGCUGUGGGAUCCUGAAUUUGCUAAUCACUAAAACUGUCUAAAAUACUUCCAGUUAGUUUUAAUAUAUUAAUACUUUACAGUUUUCAGCUAGAGCAGUCUUCAGCUAGGCCAAAAUAUAGUCUUCAUAUCAGCUUGGUAAAAUAGUGUUCAUAAUCAAUUUAUUUGCAAACUGUGUCGGGUAUUUUCAAUAAGAAUUGCAUGGGUAAUUAAAGGUAUAAUACACUGACGAGAAUCUGGCAUUGUGUAAAUAUAUCUGUUGCUAAAAUGUUUCUUAUUUGUCUUGUUUCUUUGUUGUUUUCUAGACAGAAUUUCAGAUUAUUCCUUUUUUCAUUUUAUCAUUUUUCAUUCUGUCUUAACAAAGUUUCUUUAAUUGUAGAUGGAGAGAAAGAUUGAUAUAUCAUUAUAGCUCGAGGUUAUUUUUCGUUGAUUGUUGUAUUAUUCAUGAUUUUAUCUUUAUCACUUUGACGUUCCACCAGGAAGUUGCUGAUAUAGUUGACUGAUAAUAAGUCCUAAAGGGCUGUUAUUGUUGCGCAGUCUCUCAUUGGUCAAUAUCGUGCGUUCAACCGUGAAUUUGUCAGUCUCUUUUUGCAUUCGUGGCAGAAACUGUUAGAUAAACUGGCCAUUGUUAGUUUUGCUUGCAUUGUGUGCAGACGUGUUUUAGAAAUUUUGUUUGAAAUUUAAUUAAAAUUCCACCGUAAUACGAGCACUCAGAUAUAAUAAAAGGGUAUAACAAUGGACAGGGGGAAUGAUUACACGUAUUCAAGUUAUUAUAAGACUCGUUUGACAAAGACCGUGUAUCCAUGUCAUCCGUCUCUAUGGACUGAUCAGAAUGCGAAGCACCUGAUUCCAUAUGGGAUUCAUUAUCAAGUAUCAGAAACAUCAGAUUCAUCAUUACUGCUUGAGCUAGAAUCAUCAGGAGGUAUUACAUAAUUGACCCUUCGUCUUGGAUAACCUUAAACAGCUUUACGUUCGGGCCAUUCAGCAAUGUCAGCAAGCCUAAUCUGAUCUGCAUUUACUUGAACAACUGAGUUGUCAAGCUGGUUCUUAAUAAAGUAUGUGACUGGACCUUUUUGUUCAAGAAUUCUGUAAUGCGAUUCCAGCGAUCUUCAAGCUUGCUUUUUCUUUGAUAGUUCUUAUAAUAGACAGGAUCAUUUAUUUCGAACUUAAUGUCUUUUGCUUUUUUGUCUACUUGUGCCUUAUGUUUUCGUUUUGAGCGUUUUAAAUGUCUAUAAGCAGUAAGGAAUCUUGAAUGUUGUUCUUGAAGAACUAUCUUGUGAAAAUCUUCGCCAUGGUAUUUAGCUCUAGGCUUUAGCAAAUUAUCAAUAGGUAAAAUCGGGUCUCUGUUGUAAACUAAAUAGAAAGGUGUGAACUUUGAACUUGUAGAAACAUUGUGACGUAUGCCUGCUAGAGAGAUAAACACUCCUUGGGGCCGAAAUGCGACUAAAGGCGCUAUAUUUUCUACCCCUGUAGCGUCGAUAUCCGACUAUAGGCGCGUUAUCAGGACUCCCCAGGACGGCGAUUGACGAGUAUAGUCGCAGCACCGAGAUCAUGCAGAUUGCAUUACCUACUUGUUAUUUUUUGAUAAUCCUGAUAAAAGCAAAAUUAUUUUGCAUACCUGCUAUUAUUUCUUAGAUGUUAUAAUUAUUAAUUAUGCUAAUAAUUAGUUUCCUUGUUAAAAAAAAAAAAAUGUUUGUAAA
rnacentral:lncRNA from 1 species